CACCUGGAGCAGUUGUAGUCUCUAUUAAUGGCCAUCCACCGAAGAGAGAAGUUUCUCUGAUGAGGAUUGAGAGAUGCACUAGGCUGUGGGCAUUAGAAUAAGUCAUUAGCAGUUCGUUUAGCAAUGAAGCUAUUUAGAAGAUGGAGGCGGGAUUUUAAAGAAAUGAUUGAAUGCACUGAAGUCAGUGGCCAUGAUGAGGUCUGUCUCCCAUGUGUCUCGUGCUUUGAAAAGAAGAGGAGAUAAGGAUACAGCAUGCACAGAGAAAAGAUUAUGAGAAAACAUGGAGAAGAAGGCAUCAUAUGACAUCAUCACAGUGGUUCAUGCCUGGAAUCCUAGCAUUCAGAAGGGUAAAGCUGACACAUCAUGAGUUUGGGCAUAGCCUUGGCUAUGUAAUAAGUUCCAAGCCAGUUGGGAUUUGUAGUAAGACCUUACAUCUAAAACAAAACAAAACACAAAACAAAACAAAACAAAACAAACAACAACAAAAGAAUAAAUAAAGAAAGAAAACUGAUUCUCUCAAUACCUUGAUAUUGGAUUUCUAAACUUCACAAUUACGAGAAAAUAAAAUUUCUGUUUCUUGUUGC